AGUGGCGUGGCUACACCGUGGCCUCAAGGAGCCAGUCCUGCCCGGAUGGGGCUCGCCGGAUCGGUUUCGGUUUUCACGCACUCCCAUUUCUGUGGCCGCUGUGCAUUCGCGGUACUGUGCCCUGGCCGCCACCAGGACGUUUAUUCCUGAGCUAGAGGCCGGCGGGGAGUAACGAGGCAGAGAGGUUGAGGAAUCUGGGAAGACUGCAGAAACCUAAGGGCCGGCCUAUCCUUAGUCGUAGAGACAAGGCCCUGCGGAUCGCGCCGCCAGGCCACCCAGAGGAGGGACUCACCUGCCAGGAAAGCUAGCUGCAGCGCCUGCGCCCUAACUUCGUCCGCCUCUCUGGCACACCAGUGCCCUUAGAGACCAUAGAGGCCAACUUCCACCCGUUACCGACGGGCCCUCUGCUGCCCAGAGUGGGGAAAGUCCCUCCCCACAGUUACCCAGCCUGCCGGCGACAAGGGCCAAUUUGGAAUCCAGAGCCCCGGGCUCCCUUUCCAGGAUUGCUUUCACUUUUCUUCUCUGAGAUGAUACCUGUUUCCAUAGUUUGACCCUCACCCAAAUUUCGCACCUUCUAUGGAAUGUGGAGGGAAUCCCCAAGGUCUCCAGAGUCCCCCUUCCCCCAUCCUUUGUGAGCCUGGCUUUCGGCAGGCCUUUUUCCUUGAAAAGUCUAAAUAUUGAGAGGAAAAUCUUGUCUGGGCCCAAACCGGAGGUCAGGCUGAGGACAAAGUGAGGAGGCCUGUACCAGCCUUGUCUGCUACUGUGUGUGGGAUGUGGCAGGGAGCCCGGCGAACUUGGGUCUCUAGCCUAAGGACAUUAAGUGGCAUCAGUGGCUGCCAGGGCCAGGUGAGCUGAGGCAGCAAAGAAUCUAGUUCCACCACUAGUUCAAGAAUAUCCAGAAGGCCCAGCCCUAAAACUCUGUGUGUGUCUAAAAAGGGAGGUGGGUGGAUUAAAGCUGAGGAUAGAGAGAAGGAUUAGAGAACAAUGCGUGCUAUUUUUGCAUUGCAGGAGUGUUCUCUGCUGCUUCUGGGUCCUGACAGUCUUGAAAAGAUCCAGCUGCUGAACUGGUAAGAGGUGGACUGCUGCCUCUGCAUGUGUAGAGCACAGGAACUGACAUGGCUGCUAGGGAUCUGACUCUAGCUCUACCUCAGACUUGCUGGACACCUUGGCCAAUUCAUUUUUUUCUCUGGGCCAGGGCAUCACCCCACCUCCACAAGGAGAGGGUAAGCAUCAUCAGGCUCCCUUGAUAUCUUUGAGAUCUGACAGUUCAACUCAUUUUUUUCUAUAAUAUUCCAUGAUCUUCCACGGAAUAUUAUAGAAAAUAUAGAUGUUCCAUGACCUUCCAUGGCAUUCUAUACAUUGCCAACAAAAAUCAAUAUUGAACAUCAGACUCCCAUCCUAGUACUGAGUCUAAAUAAACGAUGAGGAGUAGGGAGCUGCUGCUGGCUCAUUAUGCAACUUUUUUCCCAUCUGGAUGGCUGGACUAUAAAAGUUUCCCUGGGGCUAUGCUUUCCUGCUUUGCAAAGUCCUGAUUCUCAUUUGUGGGCCUGAUUUGGAAGUUUAUUUUCUUUUCCAGAAUCUCCAUUAUAGACUUCCUCCCUACCUCGUGCCUCUGGUCACUGCCACUUGCUCACAUUUCACUCAGAACCUUGAUUCUUUGAAUUAGACUAAGAUUAUGAGAAGGCAGUUUGCAAACCUGGGGUCCAGGGAAACAAAGGGCCAGAGCAGUCUCAGUUGUGGAAGCAGGGAGAGAGGAGGUGUGCAAAGUAGUCAGGUGGCAGGCUUGAAAUAGUCCCAGGCACUAUUGUGCUGCUCCUGUCACAGGGGCUAGUCUUCUAUGCCUUCUGCCCAGCCACCAAACAUUCUGUCACACCAGUCAGUUUUUGGAGUGACUAGUGUGGGAGGAACAAUUCGUGAGAAAUUGAGCUAAACCCAAAAGAAAUGGGGCUUCAGGAAAAAAAAUAUUCUUUGUGAUCCUAGAGAACUCCCAGCUGAGCACCCUUCUUUAUGGUCCAGAUAUUACUGAGUCUUGGGAGGAUACUGUAUGUGUGUAUUAAAGGGGAAAAGAUGUGGGAGGGGACAACACAGCUUCUUGUUUGCAUAGCUCACUUCUCUCCAGGGACGAUGUAUGGAAAGACCAAGUGUGUGCAUAAACUUGCACCUCAAAAUGCCUCCUCAUAGAGAGAGUACUGUAAGACCCCAUUCCACAUGCUGACUGACACGUGGUCAACUUGCUUAGUCAAGACAGGCACUGGUUGUGAGGAGCUGGAAAUCUUUCUUAAGUUUGUUUACCUGCAAAAUGGAGAUAAUCCUCGUGCUGCCUAGUGUCUUGUGGCUGCGGUGAAAAGCCCAUAAGAACAGAUGUGUGGGCUGUGUGGAGGCAACUUCAUAAACUCAAGUAGACACAUCAUUACAGGGCACAUCAUUACAAUGCUCAUUUCUUUCUUCACCAAGUAUUCCAUAGUCAUUUCCUCUAUGCCAGGCCUGUUGAUAGUUAUUGGGAGAAGCAGUACAGUGUUAACCUUUUUGAGGCACCUGGGUAUGGAGUUCUGAGAGGAACUGAAAUCUACACUAGAGGUCUGGCAAAGGUGUUCUGGAGCAUUGCAGAUGAAGAGACUCCUUCUCCCCAGGGUGGCAAGGGGUAUCAGAGAAAAGUUCUAUGGAGGAUAGCUUUGACGGUUGGGUCAAGUCAGAAAAGUAGGGGAAGGAUUCCUGCCCAAGCCAAAGCCCAUCAGUGAGAGGGUAUGGUGGGUUGGGCAAGAGCUACAAUUCUGGAUGGCUGUGGCUAAGUAUUUGUGUGGUGGGGAGAGGAAGAGCUGGACAUUAGACUAGAAAGAAAGGCCUGGGGCCAAAGUGUAAAAGACCAUGACUGCCUGGGUAAAUUGAGGCUCAACUAGCUAAGUUCAUCUUUUCCAGGAAAGUGGUAUGUUGUAGUGGCUCUGCCACCAGACUGCCUGGGCUGGGAUGUGAAGCUUGCCACUUAGGAGCAGUAUGAUCUGGGCAGGUCAAUUUACCUCUCUGAGUCUCAACAUUUUUUUCUGCAAAAUGAAAAUAAUAGCACCCAUGUCAGAGAAUUGUGGUAAGAAUUGAGUAGUCCAUAUGAAGUGGCACAGAGGCUAGUACAUAAGAUGGUAUCAAUAAAUGUUAGUUACUGAUGCUGUUAUUAUUAUUGCUAUCCUUCUGAUCCAAUGUACAGAUCUUCAAAGUUAUGGAACUGCUAAUAUGACUUUGAAACCAGUUUUUGUUUUGUUUUUGGUUUUUUUUUUGAGACGGAGUCACGCUCUGUCGCCCGGACUGGAGUGCAGUGGAGCGAUCUCGGCUCACUGCAAGCUCCGCCUCCCGGGUUCACGCCAUUCUCCUGCCUCAGCCUCCCGAGUAGCUAGGACUACAGGUACCUGCCACCACACCCAGCUAAUUUUUCGUAUUAUUAGUAGAGGCGGGGUUUCACUGUGUUAGCCAGGUUGGUCUAGAUCUCCUGACCUCAUGAUCCAUCUGCCUUGGCCUCCCAAAGUGUUGGGAUUACAGGCGUGAGCCACCACACCUGGCCGAAACCAGUUUUUAAUAUAAACACACAUGAGCCUAUGAUUCCUUAUGAACAGACUCACUUUAUUGUGCAGACCCAGACUCAGUUUCCCAGGGCAGAAUAUUUUGUUCAUCUUCAUAUCCUCAGCACUCAACAGAGAGUUUGGCAGAAACUUGUUGAUGAGUAUGUAUUUACUGAACAUGAAAUGAGGCAUUUUCAGGCCUAAUAUCAAGCUUAAGUGCCAGCAUCCACCAAUGAAGUGUGAUGUUACCACUCAUUGGGCAUCUCCUUUGUGCCAGGCCCUGUGUUAAGUGACACACUCAUUACCCAGAAUGAUGGACUACACACAGCUUCUGGUCUCAAGGGCAACCAGUCUAGUGGAAGAGGAAGAAAACUCCUGAGUUUCUUACUUGGACAAGGGACUGCUGGAUGGUGUUGUCAUCCACUGAACUGAGUAAUAUAGGAACAGAAUUAGGAAAAUGUGGCCAGGUGCGGUGGCUCACGCCUGUAAUCCCAGCACUUUGGGAGGCCGAGGUGGGCGGAUCACAAGGUCAGGAGAUCAAGACCAUUCUGGCUAACACGGUGAAACCCCGUGUCUACUAAAAAUACAAAAAAUUAGCCGGGCGUGAUGGCGGGCGCCUGUAGUCCCAGCUACUUGGGAGGCUGAGGCGGGAGAAUGGCAUGAACCUGGGAGGCAGAACUUGGAGUGAUCCUUGAUCGCUCCACUGCACUCCAGCCUGGGCGACAGAGCGAGACUCCGUCUCCAAAAAAAAAAUGAUUUUGUUUAGGACAUACUGAAUUUGACUUGUCAGAAAUCCCACCUCAGGGCCUUUGCACUGGCUGCUCCCUCUGCCUACAGUGUUUGUCCUCUGAAUAUUGGCAUAGUUUGCACCUCAUUUCCUUCAGGUGGCUGCUCAAAUGUCAUUAAUAGUGACACCUUCACUGAACAGUUGAUAUAUAAAAUAGCAAUCCCCAUUUCCACCCCCUUCACUCUCCAAUUCUUUAAUAGGCCUUUUUUUCUUAUCCACAGCAUUUACCACCUCUUGGUAUAUUUUUUAUUGUUAUUUAUUUUAGAGUCAUUUUUAAAUUUUCUCUUUCUUAUCAUGAAAAUGGAAGCUCCGU
rnacentral:lncRNA from 1 species